rnacentral:rRNA from 1 species
UACGUAGGGGGCAAGCGUUGUCCGGAAUUAUUGGGCGUAAAGAGCGUGUAGGCGGCCAGAUAAGUCCGCUGUGAAAUCUCGAGGCUCAACUUCGAGCUGUCGGUGGAAACCAUCUAGCUAGAGUCCGGAAGAGGAGAGUGGAAUUCCUGGUGUAGCGGUGAAAUGCGCAGAUAUCAGGAAGAACACCCGUGGCGAAGGCGGCUCUCUGGGACGUGACUGACGCUGAGACGCGAAAGCGUGGGGAGCGAACAGG